GAUGAACGCUGGCGGCGUGCCUAAUACAUGCAAGUCGAGCGAACAGAUAAGGAGCUUGCUCCUUUGACGUUAGCGGCGGACGGGUGAGUAACACGUGGAUAACCUACCUAUAAGACUGGGAUAACUUCGGGAAACCGGAGCUAAUACCGGAUAACAUAUUGAACCGCAUGGUUCUAUAGUGAAAGGCGGCUUUGCUGUCACUUAUAGAUGGAUCCGCGCCGUAUUAGCUAGUUGGUAAGGUAACGGCUUACCAAGGCAACGAUACGUAGCCGACCUGAGAGGGUGAGCGGCCACACUGGAACUGAGACACGGUCCAGCCUCCUACGGGAGGCAGCAGUAGGGAUUCUUCCGCAAGGGGCGAAAGCCUGACGGAGCAACGCCGCGUGAGUGAUGAAGGUUUUCGGAUCUAAAAACUCUUUUACGGGGAAAGAACAAAUGUGUAAGUAACUGUGCACGUCUUGACGUUACCUGAUAAGAAGGCCACGGCUAACUACGUC
rnacentral:rRNA from 1 species